GUUUUUUUUUUUUUUUUUUUUUUUUUUUUUUUUUUUUUUUUUUUUUUUUUUUUUUUUUUUUUUUGGUAUGUUUUUUUUUUUUUUUUUUUUUUUUUUUUUUUUUUUUUUUUUUUUUUUUUUUUUUUUUUUUUUUUUUUUUUUUUUUUUUUUUUUUUUUUUUUUUUUAUAAACUAA